rnacentral:rRNA from 1 species
UACGUAGGGGGCAAGCGUUGUCCGGAUUUAUUGGGCGUAAAGAGCGUGUAGGCGGCCAAGCAGGUCAGCUGUGAAAACUCGAGGCUCAACCUCGAGACGUCGGUUGAAACCACCUGGCUAGAGUCCGGAAGAGGAGAGUGGAAUUCCUGGUGUAGCGGUGAAAUGCGUAGAUAUCGGGAGGAACACCUGUGGCGAAAGCGGCGCACUGGACCACUUCUGACGCUGAGGCGCGAAAGCUAGGGGAGCAAACAGG